AAAUUAUAAUCCUGGUACCUUUGAUAACUAUUUACACCACUGGGUCGAUGCCACUGCUGGUGGACAUUUCGUCCCCGAGGGUAUCACCAGCCUAGUAGUCAACACUUCGGUGUUGACAUGAAUAUCAAUAAUAUGGUCAUUUUUAUAAAUUUCCUGUUUACAAAACUUUGAAUUUUUCGAAAAACUAAGGAUUUUCUUAUCCCAGGCAUAGAUUACCUUAGAUGU
rnacentral:lncRNA from 1 species